UUCAACUCUAAAACAAUAAAUCCUAUUCAUAGAAUCACAUCAUCAAUAAUUUAUGAAUAGAGUAAAACACUCAGCAAGCUGCAGGUAAAUGUUAUCAUUUAGCUGGUAAAGAAUAAUUAUUGCCCUGUCAAUAAAUGAUUUCUAAUAGAUUGUUAUUACCAGAGGAAACAGAAACGGCUUCAUGAGGUCAGAGGUCAAACUGAUGAAGAAAGAGGAUGGAUGCUCUCUGCUAAAAUAUUCCUGCAUCUUCCAUCAUCUUUCAGCAAACAGUUGAGAUAAAGUUGGUUCUGGUUUCACCACCAUUUACCUGCUGUUUUACCUGCCAGUGAAAGUUUCAUUAAAAGUUUGUUAAUCUGCAGCUCAUGAGACGGAACCAGCCGAGGAGAUGAAAAGUUCAAACUGGAGUUAAACUCAAGUUAAAUGUUAAGUUUGAACAUUUUAGCUCACAAGCUCUAGUUGGGUAACCCUGAGAUCACCAGAUCCUCUUAAAGAUGGCAUCUCUGAGAAAGUCCUUAAAGAUACAGGAAGUGUUUUCUGCAAAGUGGAGCUGAAUGUCCAGGAACGACACCAGGAAUUUAAAAUGUUCCAGUUUCAACAGGUUGGCCAUCGAGAGAAACUGGAAUCACUUUCAGGUUUUGUUUAUCUCAUUUAAUUAUCUCUACUUCCUUAAGAAAAUGAAAAGAUAUGUUGUUCUGAGAGGGAAUUUAUAUUUUACCGUUCCAGUAUUACCAGAAUUAAUAUUGAACAAUAAGAACUUUGUGCUAUUUAGUAAUGUAAUUACAUUAGUUGUAUUACCUCCCCUCGCCACUAGAGGCAGCAUCAGGCCAAAAAGAUGCGACUAAAUAGCAGAUUUAGAAGAAUGCCGAAAGCUACAGAAUUAGUUACAAACUGUGAGCUGAAGUAAAUAAGAGAGAGAGUUAAAUACCUGCUGAGAGUGAAAAUCCUUCCUAAAGAUAAAAAUAUAAAAAAAUAUAUCACAGAUUUCUAAGAAAAUAAAAACGAAAGCUCAUGUAUAUAGGAAAUAGCGCCCCCUUCACUUCCGGAGUGCAACGGUCCAUUUCCAAAUAAGGUCUGAGGCUAACAGCGGUCCGUCGCCCUUCCUGUUAGCUGCAGCAGGUUCUUCUCGACCUGCAGGUCCGGUGGAUGUGCUGAAGUCUGGACCGUUUCAACCAGAACCGCUGAACCGCAGCUGGUUGACGUCUUUUCUGUUUCUCAGGUCAGAGCUGCAGUAUUUUUAGAAAAUUGAGCCAAAUGUUCCUUCAUGCACAAAAGCAGAGCCACUGACACUCCUCCAGUUGGAUAAAAACUCUAAACACAAUCUUGUAGAUGACCCUGUGACCUUUUGGUGUUUGAUGUGAGCCCAGUGAAUAACCAGAAACUUUGGGACUCUGCCGUCUCCCUGUGGUCGUCCUCGUCUCUCGUUGUGCCUUUUGUCUCUGGUGUUUCAUACCACUUUGUCCCCUCUGAUCGCUUCUGAUGUUAGAAUGCCUGCAGGUUGUAACAGGAAGCCGGUCGUAACAGGAAGCCGGUCGUAACAGGAAGCAGGUCGUAACAGGAAGCCGGUCGUAACAGGAAGCAGGUCGUAACAGGAAGCCGGUCAUAACAGGAAGCAGGUCGUAACAGGAAGCCGGUCGUAACAGGAAGUGUGUUGCUUUGUGGCGGGGAAAUAUCUUAUAUAAACAUCUUUGGGUUUGAGGCAAUAAAAAUUCUUGAAUUUGUUUUGGAUUGUAUUGAAUUAUUGAAAUGUAUUGAUUGUAAGUUGAAUGGUGACUUGGUGCCAAUGCAAUAGUAGUGAUCAAUAAGUAAAAAUGUUCAAUUGUCUUGACUUGGAUCACAUGAACUGAAAGUAUCCUGAAGCCUAAACGAGCUGUACCUGAGAAAAGGCUUAUUUCUUGUGAUAAUGAUGUAACGUUGCUUUGUGGACCUGGAAGCGUUUUUCUGUCUCUUAUCAGGGUCUCUGUUGACCUUUCACCUCCUCUGUAGAGCCGUGUUGUUACUGAUUUGUGGUCGGCUCAAAGUGCUUUUCCAUCACAGUAAAUAAAGAACUCAUUCUCACCUUCA